UUAUUUGAGACAGGACACAACCUAAAAUAUAGGGUAAGCAACAACAUUACCUUUUAAGUGGGCCUGAAAGCAGCCACCUUUUAAAAAGCGUUAAAGCUUAAUUUCUCAUCAAUCCCCCAAAUACCUCCCCCUACAACGAACCCUUUACCUGUACUGAAUGACCCUAUAUUUUUAUAGGAGACAUAAUGCUAAAACUAGUAACAAGAAGUAGACCUUCUCCACAAUGUAAGCGCAAGCCAAAUCGGACCAACCACUGGUUACUAACGUAUAUGAGUUUCUUAUAGUAACGCCCUCAAGAAAAAUCUAUUUACCCAUAACGUUGACCUAACACAAGCACAUUACUGGAAAGAUUAAAAGAAAAAGAAGGAACUCGGCAAAUGUAGGCCCCGCCUGUUUACCAAAAACAUCGCCUCCUGAUUACCCAUAUGAGGUCCAGCCUGCCCAGUGACAUGAUUAAACGGCCGCGGUACUCUGACCGUGCGAAGGUAGCAUAAUCACUUGUUCUCUAAAUAAGGACUAGAAUGAACGACAUCACGAGGGCCUUACUGUCUCCUUUUUCCAAUCAGUGAAACUGAUCUCCCCGUGAAGAAGCGGGGAUCUUACUAUAAGACGAGAAGACCCCAUGGAGCUUUAAACCCAACAGGCAAUCCUAACCUCCUUCCCCCCCAAAGUUUUUAAAUAGUGUCUGCUGGUUUUAGGCUGGGGUGACCGCGGAGUAAAAAUUAUCCUCCAUGACGUAUGGGACUUCCCCCCAAUCCACGAGCUACUGCUCUAAGAAUCAUCAAAUUGACGACAAAUGAUCCAAUCUAUUGAUCAACGAACCAAGUUACCCUGGGGAUAACAGCGCAAUCCAUUUCAAGAGCUCCUAUCGACAAAUGGGUUUACGACCUCGAUGUUGGAUCAGGGUACCCAAGUGGUGCAGCCGCUACUAAUGGUUUGUUUGUUCAACAAUUAAAACCCU
rnacentral:rRNA from 1 species